GGGACUACAUCCCGAAAGGGGUGCUAAUACCGAAUGUGACAGCAAUCUCGCAUGAGGAUGCUGUGAAAGAUGGCCUCUGUUUAUAAGCUAUCGCUAGAGGAUGGGCCUGCGUCUGAUUAGCUAGUUGGUGGGGUAACGGCCUACCAAGGCGAUGAUCAGUAGCCGGUCUGAGAGGAUGAACGGCCACAUUGGGACUGAGACACCUCCCAGACUCCUACGGGAGGCAGCAGUGGGGAAUCUUCCGCAAUGGGCGAAAGCCUGACGGAGCAAUGCCGCGUGAGUGAUGAAGGAAUUCGUUCCGUAAAGCUCUUUUGUUUAUGACGAAUGUGCAGAUUGUGAACAAUGAUCUGUAAUGACGGUAGUAAACGAAUAAGCCACGGCUAACUACGUGCCAGCAGCCGCGGUAAUACGUAGGUGGCGAGCGUUGUCCGGAAUUAUUGGGCGUAAAGAGCAUGUAGGCAGUUUUUUAAGUCUGGAGUGAAAAUGCGGGGCUCAACCCCGUAUGGCUCUGGAUACUGGAAGACUUGAGUGCAGGAGAGGAAAGGGGAAUUCCCAGUGUAGCGGUGAAAUGCGUAGAUAUUGGGAGGAACACCAGUGGCGAAGGCGCCUUUCUGGACUGUGUCUGACGCUGAGAUGCGAAAGCCAGGGUAGCGAACGGGAUUAGAUACCCCGGUAGUCCUGGCCGUAA
rnacentral:rRNA from 1 species